GACGAACGCUGGCGGCGUGCUUAACACAUGCAAGUCGAACGGAAAGGCCCUGCCUUUGUGGGGUGCUCGAGUGGCGAACGGGUGAGUAACACGUGAGUAACCUGCCCUUGACUUUGGGAUAACUUCAGGAAACUGGGGCUAAUACCGGAUAGGAGCUCCUGCUGCAUGGUGGGGGUUGGAAAGUUUCGGCGGUUGGGGAUGGACUCGCGGCUUAUCAGCUCGUUGGUGGGGUAGUGGCUUACCAAGGCUUUGACGGGUAGCCGGCCUGAGAGGGUGACCGGCCACAUUGGGACUGAGAGACGGCCCAGACUCCUACGGGAGGCAGCAGUGGGGAAUAUUGCACAAUGGGCGGAAGCCUGAUGCAGCAACGCCGCGUGCGGGAUGACGGCCUUCGGGUUGUAAACCGCUUUCGCCUGUGACGAAGCGUGAGUGACGGUAAUGGGUAAAGAAGCACCGGCUAACUACGUG
rnacentral:rRNA from 1 species